rnacentral:rRNA from 1 species
GACGAACGCUGGCGGCGUGCUUAACACAUGCAAGUCGAACGGAAAGGCCCUGCUUUUGUGGGGUGCUCGAGUGGCGAACGGGUGAGUAACACGUGAGUAACCUGCCCUUGACUUUGGGAUAACUUCAGGAAACUGGGGCUAAUACCGGAUAGGAGCUCCUGCUGCAUGGUGGGGGUUGGAAAGUUUCGGCGGUUGGGGAUGGACUCGCGGCUUAUCAGCUUGUUGGUGGGGUAGUGGCUUACCAAGGCUUUGACGGGUAGCCGGCCUGAGAGGGUGACCGGCCACAUUGGGACUGAGAUACGGCCCAGACUCCUACGGGAGGCAGCAGUGGGGAAUAUUGCACAAUGGGCGGAAGCCUGAUGCAGCAACGCCGCGUGCGGGAUGACGGCCUUCGGGUUGUAAACCGCUUUCGCCUGUGACGAAGCGUGAGUGACGGUAAUGGGUAAAGAAGCACCGGCUAACUACGUGCCAGCAGCCGCGGUGAUACGUAGGGUGCGAGCGUUGUCCGGAUUUAUUGGGCGUAAGGGCUCGUAGGUGGUUGAUCGCGUCGGAAGUGUAAUCUUGGGGCUUAACCCUGAGCGUGCUUUCGAUACGGGUUGACUUGAGGAAGGUAGGGGAGAAUGGAAUUCCUGGUGGAGCGGUGGAAUGCGCAGAUAUCAGGAGGAACACCAGUGGCGAAGGCGGUUCUCUGGGCCUUUCCUGACGCUGAGGAGCGAAAGCGUGGGGAGCGAACAGGCUUCGAUACCCUGGUAGUCCACGCUGUAAACGGUGGGUACUAGGUGUGGGGUCCAUUCCACGGGUUCCGUGCCGUAGCUAACGCUUUAAGUACCCCGCCUGGGGAGUACGGCCGCAAGGCUAAAACUCAAAGGAAUUGACGGGGCCCCGCACAAGCGGCGGAGCAUGCGGAUUAAUUCGAUGCAACGCGUAGAACCUUACCUGGGUUUGACAUGGAUCGGGAGUGCUCAGAGAUGGGUGUGCCUCUUUUGGGGUCGGUUCACAGGUGGUGCAUGGCUGUCGUCAGCUCGUGUCGUGAGAUGUUGGGUUAAGUCCCGCAACGAGCGCAACCCUUGUUCACUGUUGCCAGCACGUUAUGGUGGGGACUCAGUGGAGACCGCCGGGGUCAACUCGGAGGAAGGUGGGGAUGACGUCAAGUCAUCAUGCCCCUUAUGUCCAGGGCUUCACGCAUGCUACAAUGGCUGGUACAGAGAGUGGCGAGCCUGUGAGGGUGAGCGAAUCUCGGAAAGCCGGUCUCAGUUCGGAUUGGGGUCUGCAACUCGACCUCAUGAAGUCGGAGUCGCUAGUAAUCGCAGAUCAGCAACGCUGCGGUGAAUACGUUCCCGGG